rnacentral:rRNA from 1 species
UACAGAGGGUGCGAGCGUUGUCCGGAAUCACUGGGCGUAAAGGGCGCGUAGGCGGCUCGAUAAGGUUGCGGUGAAAGCCCGGGGCCUCAACCCCGGGUCGGCCGUGGCAACUGUCGAGCUGGAGCACUGUAGAGGCAGGUGGAAUUCCGGGUGUAGCGGUGGAAUGCGUAGAGAUCCGGAAGAACACCGGUGGCGAAGGCGGCCUGCUGGGCAGUGGCUGACGCUGAGGCGCGACAGCGUGGGGAGCAAACAGG